rnacentral:rRNA from 1 species
AUUGAACGCUGGCGGAAUGCUUUACACAUGCAAGUCGAACGGCAGCACGGGAGCUUGCUCCUGGUGGCGAGUGGCGAACGGGUGAGUAAUGCAUCGGAACGUACCUAUGAGUGGGGGAUAACUAUCCGAAAGGAUAGCUAAUACCGCAUACGCCCUGAGGGAGAAAGCGGGGGAUCGUAAGACCUCGCGCUGAUAGAGCGGCCGAUGUUCGAUUAGCUAGUUGGCGAGGUAAAGGCUCACCAAGGCGACGAUCGAUAGCUGGUCUGAGAGGAUGAUCAGCCACACUGGAACUGAGACACGGUCCAGACUCCUACGGGAGGCAGCAGUGGGGAAUUUUGGACAAUGGGGGCAACCCUGAUCCAGCCAUUCCGCGUGAGUGAAGAAGGCCUUCGGGUUGUAAAGCUCUGUCGGCAGGAACGAAACGGCCAUUACUAAUACUAGUGGUCAAUGACGGUACCUGAAGAAGAAGCACCGGCUAACUACGUGCCAGCCGCCGCGGUAAAAC